rnacentral:rRNA from 1 species
CGGAUUAGAGUUUGAUCCUGGCUCAGRACGAACGCUGGCGGCGUGCUUAAMACAUGCAAGUCGAACGGAAAGGCCCAGCUUGCUGGGUACUCGAGUGGCGAACGGGUGAGUAACACGUGGGUGAUCUGCCCUGCACUCUGGGAUAAGCCUGGGAAACUGGGUCUAAUACCGGAUAUGACCAACUGUCGCAUGGUGGUUGGUGGAAAGCUUUUGCGGUGUGGGAUGGGCCCGCGGCCCAUCAGCUAGUUGGUAGGGUAAUGGCCUACCAAGGCUUAGACGGGUAGCUGGUCUGAGAGGAUGAUCAGCCACACUGGAACUGAGACACGGUCCAGACUCCUACGGGAGGCAGCAGUGGGGAAUCUUGCGCAAUGGGCGAAAGCCUGACGCAGCGACGCCGCGUGAGUGAUGAAGGCCUUCGGGUUGUAAAGCUCUGUGGGGAGAGACGAAUAAGUCAUGGCGAAUAGCCCUGAUGAUGACGGUAUCUCCUUAGCAAGCACCGGCUAACUCUGUGCCAGCAGCCGCGGUAAUACAGAGGGUGCAAACGUUGUUCGGAAUUACUGGGCGUAAAGCGUGUGURGGCGGCUUCGUA